CCUACGGGUGGCAGCAGUGGGGAAUAUUGGGCAAUGGAGGAAACUCUGACGCAGCAACGCCGCGUGAUUGAAGAUGGCCUUCGGGUUGUAAAGAUCUUUAAUUGGGGACGAAACAAAUUACGGUACCCAAAGAAUAUACUCCCGCUAACUACGUGCCAGCAGCAGCGGUAAUACGUAGGGAGCAAGCGUUAUCCGGAUUUACGGGGUGUAAGGGGCGAGUAGGCGGGAUGGCAAGUUGGGAGUGAAAUCCCGGGGCUUAACCCCGGAACUGCUUUUAAAACUGCUGGUCUGGAGUGAUGGAGAGGCGGGCGGAAUUCGGGGUGUAGCGGUGAAAUGCGUAGAUAUACGGAAGAACACCAGUGGCGAAGGCGG
rnacentral:rRNA from 1 species